UAAAGGAAUUGCAGGAUUGAAA
rnacentral:miRNA from 1 species